AGAGAGGGAGAGCUGCUGAAGUGAGAAGAGAGUGAGGGUUUCCAAAGUUACUAUUCACAUACAACUUCAAUCUAUCAUAUCUUGAGUUACGGUGCUCCGAUUUGCGUGUCGUCAGCGGCUACGCGAAGCUCUCACAGAGCCCGUUACUUUCAUAUAAAUUUUGUAGGUGAUAUCUAAGGUUGGGCUAUUGGUGGUUUGUGCCUCCAAACACCAUCGAAAAAGGAUUGAGGAGGUUCGGAAGGCGGUGGUGAUGGGAUUGCAUGGCGGUUAGGCAGGCGAAGACUAUGGGACAGCGAAGAAUUGUUAGAUUAGAAAUCCACUAAGCUAGAUCCCCUUAUUUUAUCUAUGGUUUUAAGUCAUGGUUUUAAAUGUACUUAUGUUUUAAGCUUGAAUCUCGUGAUGGAUAUGAAGUUCUAGGAUUGCCUCUGGCAUCCCGGAGUCUUAUAUCUUAUAUCACUGGCCACUGUUACCAUAUUGAGAACCUCUGGUUCACAUUCCAUACUCUAUUGUUAUUUUUCAGAUGCAGGUCCAACCCACCUCAGUGAGUUGCUUGAUGGUGACAGAGCGGAGGAUCCUUAUUCCACAUUGGAGUCUUUUGGUUAUUUUGAUUAGCUCUCUCACCUUUUAUAUUAAUAUUUG